rnacentral:rRNA from 1 species
AACGUCGUGAGACAGUUUGGUCCCUAUCUGCAGUGGGCGUUGGAAGUUUGACGGGGGCUGCUCCUAGUACGAGAGGACCGGAGUGGACGAACCUCUGGUGUACCGGUUGUGACGCCAGUCGCAUCGCCGGGUAGCUAAGUUCGGAAGAGAUAACCGCUGAAAGCAUCUAAGCGGGAAACUUGCCUGAAGAUGAGACUUCCCUGGAGGCUUGACCUCCCUGAAGAGUCGUUCGAGACCAGGACGUUGAUAGGUCGGGUGUGGAAGCGCUGUGAGGCGUUAAGCUAACCGAUACUAAUUGCUCGUGAGGCUUGAUCCUAUCAUUU